rnacentral:rRNA from 1 species
GUCCUAAGGUAGCGAAAUUCCUUGUCGGGUAAGUUCCGACCCGCACGAAUGGCGCAACGACUUGGGCGCUGUCUCAACGAGGGACCCGGUGAAAUUGCAUUACCUGUAAAGAUGCAGGUUACCCGUGGCUGGACAGAAAGACCCCGUGGAGCUUUACUGCAGCUUGACAUUGGACUUUGGUAUUACCUGUACAGGAUAGGUGGGAGGCUGCGAAGCCUGGGCGCCAGUUCAGGUGGAGCCGUUGGUGGGAUACCACUCUUGUAGUACUGGGGUUCUAACUUUUGGCCGUAAUCCGGUCUGAGGACAUUGUCAGGUGGGCAGUUUGACUGGGGCGGUCGCCUCCCAAAGGGUAACGGAGGCGCCCAAAGGUUCCCUCAGCGCGGUUGGGAAUCGCGCAGAGAGUGUAAAGGCAGAAGGGAGCUUGACUGCGAGACGUACAUGUCGAGCAGGGACGAAAGUCGGGCUUAGUGAUCCGGCGGUGCUGUGUGGAAAGGCCGUCGCUCAACGGAUAAAAGCUACCCCGGGGAUAACAGGCUUAUCUCCCCCAAGAGUCCACAUCGACGGGGAGGUUUGGCACCUCGAUGUCGGCUCAUCGCAUCCUGGGGCCGGAGUAGGUCCCAAGGGUUGGGCUGUUCGCCCAUUAAAGCGGUACGCGAGCUGGGUUCAGAACGUCGUGAGACAGUUCGGUCCCUAUCCGCCACGGGCGCAGGAAACUUGAGAGGAGCUGCCCCUAGUACGAGAGGACCGGGGUGGACGGACCUCUGGUGUACCAGUUGUCCCGCCAGGGGCACCGCUGGGUAGCCACGUCCGGAUGGGAUAAACGCUGAAAGCAUCUAAGCGUGAAGCCCACCUCAAGAUGAGGUUUCCCACCUUCUCGAGGCUUGCCUUGGGGAGGGUAAGACCCCUUGCAGAUGACAAGGUAGAUAGGCCAGGAGUGUAAGGGCAGAGAUGCCUUUAGCUGACUGGUACUAAUCGGUCGAGGGCUUGACCUC